rnacentral:lncRNA from 1 species
UAAGUUUAAAAACCACAAUUGGUACCUAGUUAAGAUCCAUUGAAAAAUCUGGGCAACUUUUCAAUAAUUAGGAAAUGGGUGAGGGUGGGGAUAGCACUUACAAUCUAGGACAGCUUUUAAUGUUCUUGUGGAUCACCCUGGGAUCUAGUUGAAAUUCAGUGUAAGGUGUGGGGUCUUCUGCAUUUAAGUUAUGAUUUGACGAGCAAGGGUGAUUUUAUUUUUUUAACCCAAGUUGUAUACCUUCUUGGACAGCACUUAUGGAAAAUGCUGCCCAUGGCAGUGAAACGUAUAUUGCCAUAGUUCUUAGAAGCCUUACUACCAGUUUCUUGGAAAAGGAACUGAUGUAGGCAUUCAUUUCAUAUAGAAAUUAAGGUGGAUAGAUGGUUAUCAGUGAC